rnacentral:lncRNA from 10 species
GGGAAGAAGCAGCCAGGGUGAAAAGGAAAUAAAUGUCCAGUAAUUUCCAAAAACUUAAGCUCUUUAGAGAAAUAGAUACACAGGAAAAAUGUUUGAGAGCUGGACAGUGGGGAUGCUUAGGAAGGUGGGCCUCCCUCCAGUCAUCCUUAGGAAAAAAAUUGCCUAGGCAGAGAGAAAAAUGUACAGAAGGGAAGAGGAAACCCAGAGGACACAGGUGCCCUUGUUUCCUCUAGAGGGACUGUGUGCCUUUCCCUGGAAGAAGAGCCCUGGAGAGAUAGUUUGUAGGAUUAAAUGGCAGAACAGACCCUGCUUCACUCCCCAAGAACUCCAGUGGAGCAGUAAGAACCUAGAGAGGUACAGGGCACACCACCCUGAAUGUGCCUGAUCUCAUCUGAUCUUGGAGGCUAAGCAGGGCUGGGCCUGCUUUUGAAUUUAGGUCAACAAGGAGCCAAUCUGGACCCAAAAGACUGCCUUAUAGAGGGAAAAUACACCAAGGGUGAGUUCAGGUUGGCCGUGAACCUGGCAGAAUUUUUGAUGGUAUUUUCAGACAUGUCUAGCAGUGACUAUUUGCCAGAAUUUAAAAUUUGCCCUCCCUGCUUGCUCGU